GACGAACGCUGGCGGCAUGCCUAACACAUGCAAGUCGAACGAGAUCUUCGGGUCUAGUGGCGCACGGGUGCGUAACGCGUGGGAAUCUGCCCUUUGGUUCGGAAUAACAGUUGGAAACGACUGCUAAUACCGGAUGAUGACGAAAGUCCAAAGAUUUAUAGCCAGAGGAUGAGCCCGCGUAGGAUUAGCUAGUUGGUGUGGUAAAGGCGCACCAAGGCGACGAUCAUUAGCUGGUCUGAGAGGAUGAUCAGCCACACUGGGACUGAGACACGGCCCAGACUCCUACGGGAGGCAGCAGUGGUGAAUAGUGGACAAUGGGCGAAAGCCUGAUCCAGCAAUGCCGCGUGAGUGAUGAAGGCCUUAGGGUUGUAAAGCUCUUUUACCCGGGAUGAUAAUGACAGUACCGGGAGAAUAAGCUCCGGCUAACUCCGUGCCAGCCGCCGCAGUAA
rnacentral:rRNA from 1 species